UACGAAGGGGGCUAGCGUUGUUCGGAAUCGCUGGGCGUAAAGGGCGCGUAGGCGGCCUUGUAAGUCGGGGGUGAAAGCCUGUGGCUCAACCACAGAAUUGCCUUCGAUACUGCAGGGCUUGAGACCGGAAGAGGUGAGUGGAACUGCGAGUGUAGAGGUGAAAUUCGUAGAUAUUCGCAAGAACACCAGUGGCGAAGGCGGCUCACUGGUCCGGGUCUGACGCUGAGGCGCGAAAGCGUGGGGAGCAAACAGG
rnacentral:rRNA from 1 species